rnacentral:rRNA from 1 species
AGCGAACGCUGGCGGCAGGCUUAACACAUGCAAGUCGAACGCGCGUAGCAAUACGUGAGUGGCAGACGGGUGAGGAACACGUGGGAAUAUGCCCUUUGGUUCGGAAUAACUCAGGGAGCCUUGAGCUAAUACCGGAUAUCUCCGAGAGGAGAAAGAUUUAUCGCCAAAGGAUUAGCCCGCGUCUGAUUAGCUAGUUGGUGAGGUAACGGCUCACCAAGGCGACGAUCAGUAGCUGGUCUGAGAGGAUGAUCAGCCACACUGGGACUGAGACACGGCCCAGACUCCUACGGGAGGCAGCAGUGGGGAAUAUUGGACAAUGGGCGCAAGCCUGAUCCAGCCAUGCCGCGUGAGUGAUGAAGGCCUUAGGGUUGUAAAGCUCUUUUGUCCGGGAAGAUAAUGACUGUACCGGAAGAAUAAGCCCGGCUAACUUCGUGCCAGCAGCCGCGGUAAU